rnacentral:misc_RNA from 2 species
AACGCACAUUGCGCCCGUCAGUAUUCUGGCGGGCAUGCCUGUUCGAGCGUCAUUACGCCCCUCAAGUCCCCUGUGGACUUGGUGUUGGGGAUCGGCGAGGCUGGUUUUCCAGCGCAGCCGUCCCUCAAAUCAAUUGGCGGUCUCGCCGUGGCCCUCCUCUGCGCAGUAGUAAAACACUCGCAACAGGAGCCCGGCGCGGUCCACUGCCGUAAAACCCCCCAACUUUUUAUAGUUGACCUCGAAUCAGGUAGGACUACCCGCUGAACUUAA